CUGUGUAGAGAGUGGGGCAGAGGAGGGUUCUUGGGAAGCUGGGAUUUCCGCCCCCCACAAGCUCACAGGAGCACGGCUGCACCCUGAGCCGGAAUGCUGGGGGAGGAGGGGGCAGGGGGCGGGAGCUGGGAGGGGCCGGGGAGCUCCGGGUAGUUUUCCCCAAGAGUCCACACAGGGAGAGACAGCCUAAGGAAGUAAAGAAUAACAUUUGGUCUUUGUCAAAAAACAACCAAGGGGGAGGGGAAGGGAACAGACAGUGAGUGUCACACAGCUGCUGAGGUCAAUCACUUUCCUCCAGCUCUGGUCCCCCACCGUGCAGAUGAGAGGAGGA
rnacentral:lncRNA from 1 species